UACGGAGGGGGCGAGCGUUAUUCGGAAUUAUUGGGCGUAAAGGGCGCGUAGGCGGCCCUGCAAGUCAAAGGUGAAAUCCCUCGGCUCAACUGAGGAACUGCCUUUGAAACUGUGGGCUUGAGGCCGGGAGGGGGUAGCGGAAUUCCCAGUGUAGCGGUGAAAUGCGUAGAUAUUGGGAGGAACACCAGUGGCGAAGGCGGCUACCUGGACCGGUUCUGACGCUGAUGCGCGAAAGCGUGGGUAGCAAACAGG
rnacentral:rRNA from 1 species